rnacentral:tRNA from 1 species
GGGGCUGUAGCUCAGUUGGAGAGCGCGUCGGUUCGGCAAUGACGAGGUCGGGGGGGUUCGAAUCCCCCCAGCUCCACCA